AAAUCAACGAUGUGUUGAUCCGUGUAAUGCGGUUCUGCAGGUUUGUUACAGACCGAGAAGACAUGACCAAUGUCAGCAGACUCACACCAGUACCCUUAUCCAGAAACAACGAAAUAUCCAAUUCACCCCAACGAUUGGCAAUUUGUCGAACCCGAUUCUCUUUCAAGUUCAAAAUUGGACGAUGCUUUCGGGAUUUACUGUCAAAGCAUUCGAAGACGCCGGAUAUACACGAAUCAUUGGUGUAUUCGAUGUGUUUCCU